rnacentral:rRNA from 1 species
AGUGAACGCUGGCGGUAGGCCUAACACAUGCAAGUCGAACGGCAGCACAGUAAGAGCUUGCUCUUACGGGUGGCGAGUGGCGGACGGGUGAGGAAUACAUCGGAAUCUACUUUUUCGUGGGGGAGAACGUAGGGAAACUUACGCUAAUACCGCAUGCGACCUACGGGUGAAAGCAGGGGAUCUUCGGACCUUGCGCGAUUGAAUGAGCCGAUGUCGGAUUAGCUAGUUGGCGGGGUAAAGGCCCACCAAGGCGACGAUCCGUAGCUGGUCUGAGAGGAUGAUCAGCCACACUGGAACUGAGACACGGUCCAGACUCCUACGGGAGGCAGCAGUGGGGAAUAUUGGACAAUGGGCGCAAGCCUGAUCCAGCCAUACCGCGUGGGUGAAGAAGGCCUUCGGGUUGUAAAGCCCUUUUGUUGGGAAAGAAAAGCAGCAGGUUAAUACCCCGCUGUUCUGACGGUACCCAAAGAAUAAGCACCGGCUAACUUCGUG